CAAAUCUCUGCAUGCCAGGAUGCAAUAACAUGUAAAUUUCAAUUUGCAGGCUCUAAUAGAAGUGUGUGUUGUGGCCAUGCUGAAUGGGGAGGCUGCUGCGGUGGGCUGGGAUGUGCCGUCUUCUCCCCAUUGUGUGUGUGUCAAAGCCCAAGCUGGCCGGAGACUUCAUCUUGUGCCGGAGCUUUUUUAUCCGGAUGACUCUUCGACCAACUCAGUGUGGGUUCAGAAUGAGGACGGAUCUGUGGAAAGGAAAACUGUGUGUGGACUGUGCACAGCCUUUGUCACUGGGCCGCAGGGUUCGGGCUGAUGCUGGGCAUUUGAGUGGUGGCGUGGCUGAUAUGGUUAGACAGGGCAUGGGGCGCUGUGCCAAGACGGUGCCAGCGUCUACCUCUGAUCUGCUGGCACUUCAUCAGCACACUUGUGCCAUCCAGCCUGCAAACACCCCACUGUACGCAGCGGGACCCAACUGCAAGUCCUGUCCUGCUCCACUACUGUAAGUAGAGAGGACAAUAACAGAGAGACUGAGAGAGAAACAAAGACAAGGAAGAAGGAGAGACUCUGUUGGCACAUAUCUAGCUUUCAGUCGAAUUUUAAUUUUACAUGCAGAUUAAUUAAUUGAAUUCAUUGUAAAUAGUCACAUAUAUACUGUGCUUCUUAUAGUCAGCAUGAAAUGGAAAUUUUACACAUGCAUGUGUUAGAUAUUAUUGUGAACAAUAUAUCCUUGCAUUUUUAAAAUUUUUUAAUCAAAAUAUUGACUGGAUCUUAAGUGAAAACAACAGACUUAUCUCUGGUGAUGUAUGCAGAACUUCUACAAAUAUUUAGUCCACUUAAAUCCCAACCAUGCAGGCUCUAUCUGUCUAUAUAUCAGUCUAUCUACCUGUCUGUCUGUCUGUCUGUCUGUCUGUUUAUCUAUCUAGUAAAAAUCCCAUUUUCUCCAAUGGGCAAUCAUUAAAAACUGACCUACUGCGAUCUGUAAGGUCAAUCUAUUGUAUGGUUAAUCUAUGGUAUAUGCAUUUGUUGAAGCUAUCAGCCUCAAUUAUUUAAACUUAACAAUACAUAGUUUUUUUUGUUAAAUAAUCAUGUUCCACAGAGGAAAUCUUGGUGAAAAACUACAUUACCCAUAAUUUUGCACAGAGACCUCCACCAAUCAGAGAGCAGAAACAAGUAAAUUAUGCCAAAGGGACUCUUAGGUGCCCACCAACUCCCACGAUGCACUGCAAAAUAAUGUGUAAUAAAAUAAGUCAGUUUCUCUGCA
ensembl:lncRNA